GGUGGUGUAGCCUAAUGGUAGGGUACCGGCUUACAAAACCGGAUAUGUGGGUUCGAAUCCCACCAUCACCA